rnacentral:lncRNA from 1 species
CCCGAAGUGAACAUUGGCCUACAGACCAGACUGCCAUGGUUAUAGGUUGAUAUUUAUGGUCUGAUUGACCCCAGCAUAAAGAGACUUGAAAAAACUCUGAGAACACAUCCUUGACCAUGGUAAUGGACUAUCAGAGAGGAAAAAUACUUUGCCAUUCUUCAGGACUGAUGAACUUAUGUAGGCCCAGGCUACACAGGAGUCCAGCUGCUCAUAGAUGACCUUUGGCUAAUCUUGUGCAGGAAUUUUCUAGAUAAAAACCUAAUCCCAUGCAAGUCACUACUCUGUCAAAGCCACAAAAGCAAAUGUGCUCCUGCAGCUCGGAGUCCAGCAUCUUUAUAUUGAUCACAGAUGAAGUUUGACUUGAGCCAGUAAGUCCACCAUGGUUCAGUGACUGCAUUUCACAGCUCUUGUUCAACUUCUGCCAUAUCAGCCACAGCAGCAACAGAGAACACUGGAGAAUUGGGGUGGCAUUAAUGUCAAGUGAAAACGUCUGUAUG